rnacentral:lncRNA from 1 species
UGGCAGGGGGAUGAUGCUAAUCUUUCUUCAUCUGCUAGACGUGAUCCGCUUCCCCUUCUCACUAAUGGCUAACAAGUAUCUGGUGAAAUUCCAAGUGUUAGAGAUAAUUUAUCUGUAAGAAGUACAUCAGGUCCAUUAGGUCCAAGUGACAAGCAACUUCCAUACAUCGAUCCCAGACAACCAGUUCCUGUAAGGAUUGUUGGCCCAACAAAGGACUUGAAUGCUUACGACCUUGGUAACGUUGACUGGAAGGAAGAGGUGGAAGGGUGGAAGCUAAAACAGGAGAAAAAUAUGCAAAUGACAAACAGAUAUGGCGGUGAAGGAAAAGGAGGGGACGAGAUUGAACGAACCGGAUCAAAUGGAGAAGAAUUGCA